rnacentral:rRNA from 1 species
AUACGGAGGGUGCAAGCGUUAAUCGGAAUUACUGGGCGUAAAGCGCGCGUAGGCGGUUUGGUAAGUUGGAUGUGAAAGCCCCGGGCUCAACCUGGGAAUUGCAUUCGAUACUGCCAGACUAGAGUAUGGUAGAGGGAAGUGGAAUUCCGGGUGUAGCGGUGAAAUGCGUAGAUAUCCGGAGGAACACCAGUGGCGAAGGCGACUUCCUGGACCAAUACUGACGCUGAGGUGCGAAAGCGUGGGGAGCAAACAGGAUUAGAAACCCUAGUAGUCC